UAUUCAUACCAGCCUUUUACCUUCAUGCCAGCCUUUUAAUCUACAAAGCACAGGUGACUGCUGGAGAGUCAUGGGAUGUGCUGUCCAUGUGGGCAUUCAGACGGGGUGCCUGGGCACAAACAGAGUGUGGGAUGUGUGUACAGCCAUGUGCCAUGUGCUGGGUGCAGUAGGGUAUGGAGUAUUGUGGUGUGAAAGAUUCAGAGGGGUGGAAAAGAAAGGAAGGAGGACAGGAAGUGAGCACGUGUUCAUUCCACAUGCAAGAUGUCCCAGAGGAUGGUGUUCUGUACUUCCCAGUCACAUCUGACCGUCCAGAAGGAGCUGAGUCAGCCUGCCAGAGCACUCAUGCUGCCAGCAAGAGAGCUGCAGGCAGGUGCAUCUCGGGUUGAACGCACCAGUUGCAGGAGUCAGGUCUUUCCUGAGUGAAAGGUAAGUACCAAAGCAACAACACUUUGUUUUUGAUCCAAAAUGUAGCAGCAGCAUGACCUGGCAUCCUCUGAAUGUGGUGGCCCCCGUACUGCAAGAAUGCCAGAAAUGUGUUUACAACUGCUCCAAAAUUCCAGUCCACUUGCACAAAGACUGAGCCCUGCAGGGGUGGACAGGCUCAGAGGUCUCAAGUGACAAGUCCCCUCCUUAGGUCCAGCAAAAGCUGGUGCUGGCAAGGGGGAAGGAGCCAUCACUGUCUCCUACCAAACAAGAAACUUCAGAGACUGCAGAAAAUUUGCAAAUUUUCUUGCAGAUUCUUGUAAAUUCUUGCAAAUCCAGCAAAACCUGGAUAAAAUGGUGCUCAAUUGCUCAGGUGCCAUGAUGUUGCAGCUGCUCUGCGUCCCAGAUCCUUGCUGGGACUGCAGUAGCACUGAAUAGUUGCUCUGACAUGUCCUGGCAGUGACUGUGAAGUGAAAAGGCUUUGGCAGACGAGUCCCCAGUUGCCCCAGUUUUCUCAGACUCAAAUAGGUUAUUGUCCUUCUUUCCUCUCUGAUGCUAACAAGUUUCCUCUAUAAAAACCCUUCCCCCUCUGAUGCUAGGGCACUGAUUUGAGAGCUUGCAAGACCACCAGAAAAGUGGUCUCCUGUUAAAUCACAAUCAGUGUUUUACAAACAGUUGCUUAUAUAGGAAAGGAGCAGGGCAAGUGGAGAGUGGGAGGACUGGGACCUGAGUGAAGUACCCUGAGGGAACGCCCCUUGGCCUAUGGUGAUGGAAAGGGAUAAUGGUUGCUGCAGGCUCUAGAAGCAAGAGCGAUAUUCACAUUAUUCCACUGGUAUCAUUUGUAGGAAGGAGUUCAGAGCAGCCAUGGUCAGGAGGCCCUCAGAGAAUGGAAACACCACUGAUCUUGGCAGUGAGUAAUCCCACUGCCUCAGAAGCAAGGGAGUGACAUUAGUACUUCAGUAGCAAUUCCUGGUCAUUUUGGCAGCCACCAAAAUAGCUGCUUGUGAGGAACAGAAGGGCAGCAACCAUCUACCUUAAGCAGUAGCCACUGUGUAGCUGUCCAAACCCCUCUUGGGUUUUGCCUCAUCUUUCUGCAGGACUUCUUGAUCCAUGACACAGGACUGCUAAUUUUUCCAAUGUCAGGAGAUGACAGUGAGGAGAGGGGGAUGCUCCACCUGAAGAAAUUGCAGGAAGGGACCAACUGGAGCUCUCACUCACUGACUUUCCACUCUCAUUUGUCCAGGCAGCACAGUGUCAGGACAGAGCAAAAGACAGGGUGCAAAGCAGUGAUGGAGCCACCAUGUCACUUAUUCAGUGAUUGCCAAACCCUCCUCUGGCUCUCUCAAAGAAGUUUAACCCCUUGUACUGAUAAAGCAUGGCCUGAAGGUGAGCCAGUGCAUUAAGAGUUUUAUGGCCACCUUGCUUCCCCUAUCCACCCAUUCAUAUUUCCCCUACUGCAGUAUUGUCAACAUAUUAUCUCACAUAUUGCACAGGCUUGUAAAACCUUGAGCCUGAGCAGACACCGAUACAUGCUGCCCUUUUCUUUUUUCAUUCCCAUAUGUGAGUGACAAACCCCGUGGGUGGUGGGGAAAUCACGUACCGUGUGCAUGACUGUGUCAUAUUUACUGCUGCUGCCUCUGUCUCCUGUAGCCUUCACUGAAUAUUUUAUCAUGGAGGAAGGGAGAGAGGGGCAAUAUUGCUGUAGCUUUCUGAUCUUUGUAUUUCACCGUGAUUGUCCUGUUGCUACUGGUGUGCUCUGGAGUUGGAGUGUAUCUGUACUGGUGUCUGGCUCUUACGCCAGUGGUGGCAAGUGUGCAGGUAUUCUCACUGUGCCAUGGGACUCAAGUGUGGUGUUUGGUCCACAUGGCCCACUCCAGUAGAUACACCUGUCACCCCGUCAUUCCCCCCAUUCUACUUGUUUCUACACCUAUUUAACAUGUUUAUGUCCGUUCAGGUAUUGGCAUGAAAAACCAUAGGCCUAGGUCAGUGCAAAGCUAUGCAAUUACUAAUGACUUUUCUUUUUUUUUUAAGUGGGGAUCAAAUUAAGCUACAGCAAUCUUUUAUUGCUAGUUAUGCAGCCAGGCCAGAGGGGAACUGAGCAGCAUGCUCUACUUCCUGGGUGAACUAAGGGUAACCCCAAUGACUGCGGGAACGUGGUAGAUCCUCAGAGACAGAGACUGCAGAAGAUCUGCAGGAACCUGCAGAGAGGAGGAGGACCCUUCCUGUCCCUGCCCAGCUAGUGACUAGUCUGCUUUCGAGGCAGCUGACAGGGCAGUUCAAGGAGUGCCAGGACUGACUUGAACACUGAUGUGGCAUUCCUGGAAGAAAGAGUCCCCCAAUCCCUCAACUCUUCUUUGAUGAGAUCUGUACAAGAAAAAGAUGCAGGUAACUUCCCCUCAGAGCCCUGGUGAGCUUUAUAGGGCAAGAGCUUCUAAAAGGAUCAAACAUAAAAACGCCUAAACCCAGCAAAACCGUAUUGGUCCUGUGUUGAAAGAGGCUGAAUAAUUUAUUAUAAGCAUGUACAAAAUGAGAAAAGAAUGAGAAGUAGUUUGGCUCUUCUUAGAAAGAGUUUCUUUCAAAGAUUUAUUUUUUUUUUUUUAAUAAAAGCAGCUUACUUUCAUCUGCAAAGCCAGGGCAAAAU